rnacentral:lncRNA from 1 species
AGCUAUGGCUCACUGCCCCUCAGGGGGCAGGGGGCUGGUGAUUCCUGAGGGAGCCCUGCCCCCUUCCAGGGUGAAUUUUCCUAAGUCACCAUGGAGAACCAGCAGCCCAGAAUCAGUGCCCUGCCAGGCAGAAUUGCUUGGCCAUAACAAAGAUCCAUUGCCUUUCUGAUGACACCCAGCACCUCGGAUUCUGUAUACACGGGAGGUGAUUUAAGCAUCUUACUGCCACCCUGAAAUCUGGGGUCCUUUAUCCUGGCAGCAUCUAGACCCGUAACGCCCACUUCAGAAUGGGAGGGAGGAUGUCUGCUGCCCUGUCGUCUCCACACCCGAGGAAUGUCCGUGUGUGUGUGUGUGUGGUGUGCACAGCGGGCUGCACACAGCGGGCUCCACGGUGCUCGAAUGGAGGCCCUAAUGUGAAUGGAGACUAGCCUGCUGGUAGAGACCUUGGCAGUGACCGCUGUGGGCAAUGAGCCAUGGGCCAACAAUAUUCAAUGCUGUGUACCUGAUGGAUGGUUACUGUCUGAGACUGAGGCUUUUUGGGCCAGGAGUAAAAGGACUUGGUUUGUACUUGAUUGCGUCCUGUGGAUGCUUGCCUACCAACUGACUCAUCCUGACGUGCCAAAGGUCCUGGCUUUCCCCUGUGUGGGUAAGGGAAGAAGAGAGUUCUGUGAGUAAUAGCUUCGGUUGUAUGUUCUUGGCUUGGGAAGUUGACUCAUGAGUGGGUGUUGCUUGCAUUUUUCUAAGGUAAAAAAAAUGGUUAUAAUUCAUAAGCAAAAUUUAUAAAUGCCAGUGUUAGGCAGUGAUAGGAACAUCAUCAGACUAAGGCCUGAUAAUUAAUAUGAUUUAGCACUAUGAAAAA